AACACAGGGAUUGCCCUAGUAACGGCGAGUGAAGCGGCAACAGCUCAAAUUUGAAAUCUGGCUUCGGCCCGAGUUGUAAUUUGCAGAGGAUGUUUCUGGCGCGGUGCCUUCCGAGUUCCCUGGAACGGGACGCCAUAGAGGGUGAGAGCCCCGUAUGGUUGGAUACUAAGCCUGUGUGAAACUCCUUCGACGAGUCGAGUAGUUUGGGAAUGCUGCUCAAAAUGGGAGGUAAAUCUCUUCUAAAGCUAAAUAUUGGCCAGAGACCGAUAGCGCACAAGUAGAGUGAUCGAAAGAUGAAAAGCACCUUGAAAAGGGGGUUAAACAGUACGUGAAAUUGUUGAAAGGGAAGCGCUCAUGACCAGACUUGUGCUGGGCAGCUCAUCCGGGGUUCUCCCCGGUGCACUCUGCCCAGUUCAGGCCAGCAUCGAUUUUUGCUGGGGGAUAAGAACGGUAGGAACGUGGCCCUCCUUCGGGUGGGUGUUAUAGCCUGCCGUACGAUACCCUGGCGGAGAUCGAGGUUCGCGCAUCUGCAAGGAUGCUGGCGUAAUGGUCAUCAGCGACCCGUCUGGAAAAACACGG
rnacentral:rRNA from 1 species